rnacentral:rRNA from 1 species
GGUUAAGCGAAUAAGCGUACACGGUGGAUGCCUAGGCAAUCAGAGGCGAUGAAGGACGUGCUAAUCUGCGAUAAGCGUCGGUAAGGUGAUAUGAACCGUUAUACCCGACGAUUUCCGAAUGGGGAAACCCAAUAUCCAAUGGAUAUUAUCAUUAACUGAAUACAUAGGUUAAUGAAGCGAACCGGGAGAACUGAAACAUCUCAGUACCCCGAGGAAAAGAAAUCAACCGAGAUUCCCCUAGUAGCGGCGAGCGAACGGGGAACAGCCCAGAGUCUUAAUCAACAGCAGCAUCAGGAGAACGGUCUGGAAAGUCCGGCAGUAAAGGGUGAUAGCCCCGUAUCUGAAGAUGCUGUUAUUGUGAACUCGACGAGUAGGGCGGGACACGUGUUAUCCUGUCUGAAUAUGGGGGGACCAUCCUCCAAGGCUAAAUACUCCUGAUUGACCGAUAGUGAACCAGUACCGUGAGGGAAAGGCGAAAAGAACCCCGGCGAGGGGAGUGAAAAAGAACCUGAAACCGUGUACGUACAAGCAGUAGGAGCCUCUUUAUGGGGUGACUGCGUACCUUUUGUAUAAUGGGUCAGCGACUUAUAUUCUGUAGCAAGGUUAACCGAAUAGGGGAGCCGUAGGGAAACCGAGUCUUAACUGGGCGAAUGAGUUGCAGGGUAUAGACCCGAAACCCGGUGAUCUAUCCAUGGGCAGGUUGAAGGUUGGGUAACACUAACUGGAGGACCGAACCGACUAAUGUUGAAAAAUUAGCGGAUGACUUGUGGAUGGGGGUGAAAGGCCAAUCAAACCGGGAGAUAGCUGGUUCUCCCCGAAAGCUAUUUAGGUAGCGCCUCGUGAACUCAUCUUCGGGGGUAGAGCACUGUUUCGACUAGGGGGUCAUCCCGACUUACCAACUCGAUGCAAACUGCGAAUACCGAAGAAUGUUAUCACGGGAGACACACGGCGGGUGCUAACGUCCGUCGUGAAGAGGGAAACAACCCAGACCGCCAGCUAAGGUCCCAAAGUCAUGGUUAAGUGGGAAACGAAGUGGGAAGGCUCAGACAGCCAGGAUGUUGGCUUAGAAGCAGCCAUCAUUUAAAGAAAGCGUAAUAGCUCACUGGUCGAGUCGGCCCGCGCGGAAGAUGUAACGGGGCUAAACCAUGCACCGAAGCUGCGGCAGCGACACUUAGGUGUUGUUGGGUAGGGGAGCGUUCUGUAAGCCUGCGAAGGUGUACUGUGAGGUAUGCUGGAGGUAUCAGAAGUGCGAAUGCUGACAUAAGUAACGAUAAUGCGGGUGAAAAACCCGCACGCCGGAAGACCAAGGGUUCCUGUCCAACGUUAAUCGGGGCAGGGUGAGUCGACCCCUAAGGCGAGGCUGAAAAGCGUAGUCGAUGGGAAACGGGUUAAUAUUCCCGUACUGGUGGUAACUGCGAUGGGGGAACGGAGAAGGCUAGGUUGUCCGGGCGACGGUCGUCCCGGUUCAAGCAUGUAGGCAGAGUGAUUAGGCAAAUCCGGUCACUUAAUGCUGAGGUGUGAUGACGAGCCACUAAGGUGGUGAAGCAAUUGAUGCCCUGCUUCCAGGAAAAGCCUCUAAGCUUCAGGUUACCAACAAUCGUACCCCAAACCGACACAGGUGGUCAGGUAGAGAAUACUCAGGCGCUUGAGAGAACUCGGGUGAAGGAACUAGGCAAAAUGGUGCCGUAACUUCGGGAGAAGGCACGCUGGCGGUAAGUGAAGUCCCUUGCGGACGGAGCCGAAGCCAGUCGAAGAUACCAGCUGGCUGCAACUGUUUAUUAAAAACACAGCACUGUGCAAACACGAAAGUGGACGUAUACGGUGUGACGCCUGCCCGGUGCUGGAAGGUUAAUUGAUGGGGUUAUCCUUAGGGAGAAGCUCUUGAUCGAAGCCCCAGUAAACGGCGGCCGUAACUAUAACGGUCCUAAGGUAGCGAAAUUCCUUGUCGGGUAAGUUCCGACCUGCACGAAUGGCGUAAUGAUGGCCAGGCUGUCUCCACCCGAGACUCAGUGAAAUUGAACUCGCUGUGAAGAUGCAGUGUACCCGCGGCAAGACGGAAAGACCCCGUGAACCUUUACUAUAGCUUGACACUGAACAUUGAGCCUUGAUGUGUAGGAUAGGUGGGAGACUUAGAAGUGUGGACGCCAGUCUGCAUGGAGUCAACCUUGAAAUACCACCCUUUAACGUUUGAUGUUCUAACCUAGGCCCGUAAUCCGGGUCGGGGACCGUGUCUGGUGGGUAGUUUGACUGGGGCGGUCUCCUCCUAAAGAGUAACGGAGGAGCACGAAGGUUGGCUAAGCAUGGUCGGACAUCAUGCGGUUAGUGCAAAGGCAUAAGCCAGCUUGACUGUGAGAGUGACGGCUCGAGCAGGUACGAAAGUAGGUCUUAGUGAUCCGGUGGUUCUGAAUGGAAGGGCCAUCGCUCAACGGAUAAAAGGUACUCCGGGGAUAACAGGCUGAUACCGCCCAAGAGUUCAUAUCGACGGCGGUGUUUGGCACCUCGAUGUCGGCUCAUCACAUCCUGGGGCUGAAGUAGGUCCCAAGGGUAUGGCUGUUCGCCAUUUAAAGUGGUACGCGAGCUGGGUUUAGAACGUCGUGAGACAGUUCGGUCCCUAUCUGCCGUGGGCGUUGGAAGAUUGAGAGGGGUUGCUCCUAGUACGAGAGGACCGGAGUGAACGCACCACUGGUGUUCGGGUUGUCAUGCCAAUGGCAUUGCCCGGUAGCUAAGUGCGGAAGAGAUAACCGCUGAAAGCAUCUAAGCGGGAAACUUGCCUCGAGAUGAGUCUUCCCUGUCACCUAGAGUGACCUAAAGGAACGUUUAAGACUAAGACGUUGAUAGGCUGGGUGUGUAAGCGUAGCGAUACGUUGAGCUAACCAGUACUAAUGAACCGUGAGGCUUAACCUG